CCUACGGGUGGCAGCAGUGAGGAAUAUUGGUCAAUGGGCGCGAGCCUGACCCAGCCACGUCGCGUGAAGGAUGACUGCCCUCCGGUUUGUACCCUUCUUUUAUCAAGGAAUAAAGUGAGGCCUGUGUGCCUUUUUGUAUGUUCUUUAUGAAUUCACAUCGGCUAAAUCCGUGCCAGCCGCCGCGGUAAUACGGAGGAGCCGAGCGUUCUCCGGAUUUUUUGGGUUUAAAGGGAGCGUAGAUGGGUUGUUAAGUCAGUUGUGAAAGUUUGCGGCUCAACCGUAAAAUUGCAAUUGAUACUGGCAGUCUUGAGUACAGUAGAGGUAGGCGGAAUUCGGGGUGUAGCGGUGAAAUGCGUAGAGAUCACGAAGAACGCCGAUGGCGAAGGCAGCUGACUAAACGGCCACUGACAUUGAGGCGCGAAAGUGUGGGUAGCAAACAGGAUUAGAUACCCCAGUAGUC
rnacentral:rRNA from 1 species